UACGUAGGGGGCAAGCGUUGUCCGGAUUUAUUGGGCGUAAAGAGCGUGUAGGCGGCCAUGCAGGUCCGUUGUGAAAACUCGAGGCUCAACCUCGAGACGCCGAUGGAAACCGUGUGGCUAGAGUCCGGAAGAGGAGAGUGGAAUUCCUGGUGUAGCGGUGAAAUGCGCAGAUAUCAGGAAGAACACCCGUGGCUAAGGCGGCUCUCUAGUACGGUACUGACGCUGAGACGCGAAAGCGUGGGGAGCGAACAGG
rnacentral:rRNA from 2 species